rnacentral:rRNA from 1 species
UGCGAGAGGGGCAAGUGUUAUUCGUAUUGACUGGGCGUAAAGGGUAUGUAGGCUGUUAAUUCAUCAUGAGGUGAAAAUGCUGUGUAAUUUGUACAUAGAAACAUCAAUUGAAAGCUUUAACUAGAGUUAGUCUCAGGAUCAUAGAAUUUUUUUUGUAGGGCUAAAAUCCAUAUUAGAAAAAAAAGAAAAUGCCGAUCGGUGAAGACAUUGAUCUGGAGGUAACUGACGCUGAGGUACGAAAGCGUGGGGAGCGAAUAGG